AAUUCGAUUGUUUGAUCCUGGCUCAGGAUGAACGCUAGCGGCAGGCUUAACACAUGCGAGUCGAGGGGUAACAGGAGUAGCAAUACUUGCUGACGACCGGCGCACGGGUGAGUAACGCGUAUGCAACCUACCUCUAACUGAGGAAUAGCCCGGAGAAAUCCGGAUUAAUACUUCAUAAUAUUUCGAAUUCGCAUGUUUUCGAAAUUAAAGCUUUGGCGGUUAGAGAUGGGCAUGCGUGACAUUAGUUAGUUGGUGAGGUAACGGCCCACCAAGGCUGCGAUGUCUAGGGGUUCUGAGAGGAUGAUCCCCCACACUGGUACUGAGACACGGACCAGACUCCUACGGGAGGCAGCAGUGAGGAAUAUUGGUCAAUGGGCGCAAGCCUGAACCAGCCAUCCCGCGUGAAGGAAGACGGCCCUAUGGGUUGUAAACUUCUUUUCUGCACCAAGAAUGGGCGCCACGUGUGGCGUUAUGACGGUAGUGCAGGAAUAAGCAUCGGCUAACUCCGUGCCAGCAGCCGCGGUAAUACGGAGGAUGCAAGCGUUAUCCGGAUUCAUUGGGUUUAAAGGGUACGUAGGUGGCUUUGUAAGUCAGUGGUGAAAUCCUGCCGCUUAACGGUAGAACUGCCAUUGAUACUGCAAAGCUUGAGUACAGUUGAGGUAGGCGGAAUGUGUAGUGUAGCGGUGAAAUGCUUAGAUAUUACACAGAACUCCGAUUGCGAAGGCAGCUUACUAAACUGUAACUGACACUGAGGUACGAAAGCGUGGGGAGCGAACAGGAUUAGAUACCCUGGUAGUCCACGCCGUAAACGAUGCUCACUCGCUGUAUGCAAUACACAGUAUGCGGCCAAGCGAAAGUAUUAAGUGAGCCACCUGGGGAGUACGUUGGCAACAGUGAAACUCAAAGGAAUUGACGGGGGCCCGCACAAGCGGAGGAACAUGUGGUUUAAUUCGAUGAUACGCGAGGAACCUUACCUGGGCUUAAAUGGGGAACGACAGGCGUGGAAACAUGCCCUUCUUCGGACGUUCUCCAAGGUGCUGCAUGGUUGUCGUCAGCUCGUGCCGUGAGGUGUCGGGUUAAGUCCCAUAACGAGCGCAACCCCUACCGUUAGUUACCAUCAGUUUGGCUGGGGACUCUAGCGGGACUGCCACCGUAAGGUGAGAGGAAGGUGGGGAUGACGUCAAAUCAGCACGGCCCUUAUGUCCAGGGCUACACACGUGUUACAAUGGCCGGUACAAAGGGCAGCUACACAGCAAUGUGAUGCCAAUCCCUAAAGCCGGUCUCAGUUCGGAUCGAAGUCUGCAACCCGACUUCGUGAAGCUGGAUUCGCUAGUAAUCGCGCAUCAGCCAUGGCGCGGUGAAUACGUUCCCGGGCCUUGUACACACCGCCCGUCAAACCAUGGAAGCUGGGGGUACCUGAAGUCUGUGACCGCAAGGAGCGGCCUAGGGUAAAACUAGUGACUGGGGUUAAGUCGUAACAAGGUAGCCGAAUCACUAGUGAA
rnacentral:rRNA from 1 species